AAAGGGGUCGCCGAAAACCUAGCAGAGUAGGUA
rnacentral:ncRNA from 1 species